rnacentral:rRNA from 1 species
AAUCCUACGGGACGCAGCAGUGGGGGAUAUUGCACAAUGGGGGAAACCCUGAUGCAGCGACGCCGCGUGGGCGAAGAAGUAUUUCGGUAUGUAAAGCCCUAUCAGCAGGGAAGAAGAAAUGACGGUACCUGAGUAAGAAGCACCGGCUAAAUACGUGCCAGCAGCCGCGGUAAUACGUAUGGUGCAAGCGUUAUCCGGAUUUACUGGGUGUAAAGGGAGCGCAGGCGGCACGGCAAGUCAGAUGUGAAAGCCCGGGGCUCAACCCCGGGACUGCAUUUGAAACUGUCAGGCUGGAGUGCAGGAGG